UACGUAGGCAGCAAGCGUUGUUCGGAGUUACUGGGCGUAAAGCGCGCGUAGGCGGCCCGGUAAGUCCACUCUGAAAGUCCAGGGCUCAACCCUGGAAAGCGGGUGGAUACUGCCGGGCUAGAAUCCGGAAGAGGCGAGUGGAAUUCCUGGUGUAGCGGUGGAAUGCGCAGAUAUCAGGAGGAACACCGAUGGCGAAGGCAGGUCUCUGGGCUGACACUGACGCUCAUGCACGAAAGCGUGGGGAGCAAACAGG
rnacentral:rRNA from 1 species